AAAAACAUCGCCUCUUGAUAACACUAUAAGAGGUCUCACCUGCCCAAUGACGCAAGUUUAAUGGCCGCGGUAUCUUGACCGUGCAAAGGUAGCGUAAUCACUCGUCUUUUAAUUGAAGUCUCGUAUGAAUGGUGGAACGAAAACUCAACUGUCUCAUUCUUUUAACCAAUGAAAUUGAUUUCUCCGUGCAGAAGCGGGGAUAAAAACAUAAGACAAAAAGACCCUGUGGAGCUUUAGACAAAUCAGCUUAAGAUUUUUAUAACUUUUAUUGUAAAUAAACCUUAAAACCUGCAUACAUCUUAGAUUGGGGCGAUCGCGGAGAAAAUAUACCCUCCAUGAAGAAAAACAUACGCUUUUAUAACUAAGAGUUACCACUCUAAACACUAAAAUAUUUAACUUUAUGACCCGGCUUGCCGAUUAACGAACCCAGUUACCCCAGGGAUAACAGCGCAAUUUCCUUAAAGAGCACCUAUCGCCAAGGGAGUUUACGACCUCGAUGUUGGAUCAGGACAUCCUAAUGGUGUACCUACUAUUAAGGGUUCGUUUGUUCAACGAUUAAAGUCCUACGUGA
rnacentral:rRNA from 1 species